rnacentral:rRNA from 1 species
AUUGAACGCUGGCGGCAUGCCUUACACAUGCAAGUCGAACGGUAACGCGGGGCAACCUGGCGACGAGUGGCGAACGGGUGAGUAAUGUAUCGGAACGUGCCCAGUUGUGGGGGAUGACUGCUCGAAAGAGCAGCUAAUACCGCAUACGACCCGAGGGUGAAAGCGGGGGAUCGCAAGACCUCGCGCAAUUGGAGCGGCCGAUAUCAGAUUAGGUAGUUGGUGAGGUAAAGGCUCACCAAGCCGACGAGCUGUAGCUGGUCUGAGAGGACGACCAGCCACACUGGGACUGAGACACGGCCCAGACUCCUACGGGAGGCAGCAGUGGGGAAUUUUGGACAAUGGACGCAAGUCUGAUCCAGCCAUGCCGCGUGCGGGAAGAAGGCCUUCGGGUUGUAAACCGCUUUUGUCAGGGAAGAAACGCUCUGGGUUAAUACCUCGGGGUAAUGACGGUACCUGAAGAAUAAGCACCGGCUAACUACGUGCCAGCCGCCGCAGUAAGAC